rnacentral:lncRNA from 1 species
CUGGCGGGAGCCGUCCCUGGAUGGGGGUCACUAGCCUCCCCAUUGUGACUCGUUUGAGCUCUUAGCCAGGCGUGUAGUCUGGCGGGAGCCGUCGCGGCUGGCUCGGCAGCUCCAGGCUAUUCCGAGGAACAGUCUUCAGAGAGCCUGGGAAGGACAUGUUGCAGAAGAAAUGCAAGUACAGUGAAGAAUAAGACUGGGGAACUUUUACAAUUCAGAGUGGCCUUCACUGUGGGCGGUCCGAAUUGAUCCCUGUAUACAGAGGACAAUGAAUCCAGGCAGUGAUCCACCAAUGAUAACUAACAUCAUAAAAAGAUACAUGGCCGGAUAUGAUGUUCCUUCUGACGGAAGACCACAACACCUGCUGAAAAAUCAAAUCUGAAUCGGAUCAAGCCUCUAGAGGAGGCAGCACCCAGGGUCAUUCCUGGAGCAUAAACGAUCCCUGCAGAACAUGGGCUAGAAGACCCCACAGUGGGGCAGAGGCAGGUCCUGGACUGGGAUCCCAGCAGUGAGAAGACCUGGACAUCAACCCUAUUUCAUUGUGCCUCUGCAAAUCUCCCAACUUUUGGAGCUGUAGCUGCAAGCUCAGACUUGUGGUUUCCUGUACCUGGAGGAGGCCCAGGUCAUUCUGUUAAGUCCCUUGUCUAUUUCCUGCUUUUAUCUGGAUGCUGAGUUAAUUAUUUGAUCCAACAAUAAAACUAACAAGGUUUUAAAAAAAAAAA